GGGUUGUGAGGUUAAGCGACUAAGCGUACACGGUGGAUGCCCUGGCAGUCAGAGGCGAUGAAGGACGUGCUAAUCUGCGAUAAGCGUCGGUAAGGUGAUAUGAACCGUUAUAACCGGCGAUUUCCGAAUGGGGAAACCCAGUGUGUUUCGACACACUAUCAUUAACUGAAUCCAUAGGUUAAUGAGGCGAACCGGGGGAACUGAAACAUCUAAGUACCCCGAGGAAAAGAAAUCAACCGAGAUUCCCCCAGUAGCGGCGAGCGAACGGGGAGGAGCCCAGAGCCUGAAUCAGUGUGUGUGUUAGUGGAAGCGUCUGGAAAGGCGCGCGAUACAGGGUGACAGCCCCGUACACAAAAAUGCACAUGCUGUGAGCUCGAUGAGUAGGGCGGGACACGUGGUAUCCUGUCUGAAUAUGGGGGGACCAUCCUCCAAGGCUAAAUACUCCUGACUGACCGAUAGUGAACCAGUACCGUGAGGGAAAGGCGAAAAGAACCCCGGCGAGGGGAGUGAAAAAGAACCUGAAACCGUGUACGUACAAGCAGUGGGAGCACGCUUCGGCGUGUGACUGCGUACCUUUUGUAUAAUGGGUCAGCGACUUAUAUUCUGUAGCAAGGUUAACCGAAUAGGGGAGCCGAAGGGAAACCGAGUCUUAACUGGGCGUUAAGUUGCAGGGUAUAGACCCGAAACCCGGUGAUCUAGCCAUGGGCAGGUUGAAGGUUGGGUAACACUAACUGGAGGACCGAACCGACUAAUGUUGAAAAAUUAGCGGAUGACUUGUGGCUGGGGGUGAAAGGCCAAUCAAACCGGGAGAUAGCUGGUUCUCCCCGAAAGCUAUUUAGGUAGCGCCUCGUGAAUUCAUCUCCGGGGGUAGAGCACUGUUUCGGCAAGGGGGUCAUCCCGACUUACCAACCCGAUGCAAACUGCGAAUACCGGAGAAUGUUAUCACGGGAGACACACGGCGGGUGCUAACGUCCGUCGUGAAGAGGGAAACAACCCAGACCGCCAGCUAAGGUCCCAAAGUCAUGGUUAAGUGGGAAACGAUGUGGGAAGGCCCAGACAGCCAGGAUGUUGGCUUAGAAGCAGCCAUCAUUUAAAGAAAGCGUAAUAGCUCACUGGUCGAGUCGGCCUGCGCGGAAGAUGUAACGGGGCUAAACCAUGCACCGAAGCUGCGGCAGCGACACUGUGUGUUGUUGGGUAGGGGAGCGUUCUGUAAGCCUGUGAAGGUGUACUGUGAGGUAUGCUGGAGGUAUCAGAAGUGCGAAUGCUGACAUAAGUAACGAUAAAGCGGGUGAAAAGCCCGCUCGCCGGAAGACCAAGGGUUCCUGUCCAACGUUAAUCGGGGCAGGGUGAGUCGACCCCUAAGGCGAGGCCGAAAGGCGUAGUCGAUGGGAAACAGGUUAAUAUUCCUGUACUUGGUGUUACUGCGAAGGGGGGACGGAGAAGGCUAUGUUGGCCGGGCGACGGUUGUCCCGGUUUAAGCGUGUAGGCUGGUUUUCCAGGCAAAUCCGGAAAAUCAAGGCUGAGGCGUGAUGACGAGGCACUACGGUGCUGAAGCAACAAAUGCCCUGCUUCCAGGAAAAGCCUCUAAGCAUCAGGUAACAUCAAAUCGUACCCCAAACCGACACAGGUGGUCAGGUAGAGAAUACCAAGGCGCUUGAGAGAACUCGGGUGAAGGAACUAGGCAAAAUGGUGCCGUAACUUCGGGAGAAGGCACGCUGAUAUGUAGGUGAGGUCCCUCGCGGAUGGAGCUGAAAUCAGUCGAAGAUACCAGCUGGCUGCAACUGUUUAUUAAAAACACAGCACUGUGCAAACACGAAAGUGGACGUAUACGGUGUGACGCCUGCCCGGUGCCGGAAGGUUAAUUGAUGGGGUUAGCGGUAACGCGAAGCUCUUGAUCGAAGCCCCGGUAAACGGCGGCCGUAACUAUAACGGUCCUAAGGUAGCGAAAUUCCUUGUCGGGUAAGUUCCGACCUGCACGAAUGGCGUAAUGAUGGCCAGGCUGUCUCCACCCGAGACUCAGUGAAAUUGAACUCGCUGUGAAGAUGCAGUGUACCCGCGGCAAGACGGAAAGACCCCGUGAACCUUUACUAUAGCUUGACACUGAACAUUGAGCCUUGAUGUGUAGGAUAGGUGGGAGGCUUUGAAGUGUGGACGCCAGUCUGCAUGGAGCCGACCUUGAAAUACCACCCUUUAAUGUUUGAUGUUCUAACGUGGACCCGUAAUCCGGGUUGCGGACAGUGUCUGGUGGGUAGUUUGACUGGGGCGGUCUCCUCCUAAAGAGUAACGGAGGAGCACGAAGGUUGGCUAAUCCUGGUCGGACAUCAGGAGGUUAGUGCAAUGGCAUAAGCCAGCUUGACUGCGAGCGUGACGGCGCGAGCAGGUGCGAAAGCAGGUCAUAGUGAUCCGGUGGUUCUGAAUGGAAAGGCCAUCGCUCAACGGAUAAAAGGUACUCCGGGGAUAACAGGCUGAUACCGCCCAAGAGUUCAUAUCGACGGCGGUGUUUGGCACCUCGAUGUCGGCUCAUCACAUCCUGGGGCUGAAGUAGGUCCCAAGGGUAUGGCUGUUCGCCAUUUAAAGUGGUACGCGAGCUGGGUUUAGAACGUCGUGAGACAGUUCGGUCCCUAUCUGCCGUGGGCGCUGGAGAACUGAGGGGGGCUGCUCCUAGUACGAGAGGACCGGAGUGGACGCAUCACUGGUGUUCGGGUUGUCAUGCCAAUGGCACUGCCCGGUAGCUAAAUGCGGAAGAGAUAAGUGCUGAAAGCAUCUAAGCACGAAACUUGCCCCGAGAUGAGUUCUCCCUGACCCUUUAAGGGUCCUGAAGGAACGUUGAAGACGACGACGUUGAUAGGCCGGGUGUGUAAGCGCAGCGAUGCGUUGAGCUAACCGGUACUAAUGAACCGUGAGGCUUAACCUUACAACGCCGAAG
rnacentral:rRNA from 1 species